AGACCGUGAUGUGGACAAAGCCUCAUCAUGUCUUUGUAUCUCUCCCAAGCUUCAAAAAGCGAUUCAUUAUUAUUUUUUGUUUAAACCCGUUUAUUUGGGCUCUUAGCAU